rnacentral:lncRNA from 1 species
UGGAUUAAAUAAGGUGAUGGUGUGUUGGAUUUGUUGACGAAGACCAGCAGUGAAUCGAGCAACUACCUGACGUUCUAAAUCUUGAAUGUCAACACGGGUAAGCAAAAAGAAAAAUUCAGUCGAGUACUCAGCCACAGAACGUGUACCCUGGCGUAUAGUAUGAAGACGCUGGAACAUGAUCUGAUCGUAAUUAUACGGUAAGAAUGUUUUUUUAAGCUUCGAUUUCAACUUAUCCCACGACAUCACUUUAGGUUUCCCGAGACGAGCUCGAGUUGAUUUCAAUUGUGUCCACCAUGCCGCUGCUCUGUUUCGGAAUCGCAUAGUGAUAAGAGGAAC